GCAGCCCUUGUAGUAGCAAAGACAACAGGGCUGACAAUGACAUUCGCUGCUGAGUGCCUGACAUUGAACUCAGCCAGUCAGAACACAGGGUGUCUGGCUGGUAGAAUUAAGUGCUGUCAGCACUAGAGAGAGAGAUGGGGGAGGGGGUAGAGAAUUAGGGAAGGGGGAUGAAGCAGAAGCAGCCCCUUCAGUAACAGCAAGCUAGCCAGCUCCCUCCCCUUCCCUCCUUUUGUGCAAAAAUGUGGUGGGGGUUUUUUUUUUUGUUUGUCAAUCAAGCAGAUUGUUUUUUCCUUCCCAGCAAUCUGAUUGUCGCUGCUGGUAUAAGAUAAGGGACUGAAAUGGGGCCAUGUGGUAGGGGUUUGAAUUUAGAACCCUGAAAUUAGAGGGCAGGCAUCAAAGGGGGCAGAGGAAAUUGUGUGAAUUCAUUAACCUCACCCACCUUGGACUAUUCCAGGAUACUACCUCCCAGCUUCCUGCUUCUCACUAUAUAUUUGAUCUUUCUGCCUCAGGACUCAGAAAGCUCAGGAUGACUCCCUCUCCUCUGCUGGCAGGAGCUGGCUGUCCAUUAAGUAGAAGGUUCCAGGGAAGAGGAGGGGCACUGGUUUCUGCUGCUUACUGUGCAGAUGAACCUUAAGGACUCUUCAGGGAAUGGAGCUAAAUAUGUAAAGUACUGAUUUUCCCCUGGAAAUAUUGCUCUGUCUACCUCCUUCUUGUGAUCUACCGGGUUGCCUAAUUUGUACCUAUAAAUCCAUCAGGCAAGAAGAAUUUUUGGCUGUGGUUAUACGCAAUAAGAACAGGAGAAUAUUUGUGUGUGUGUGUGUGUGUGUGUGUGUGUGUGUGUGUGUGUGAUUGUGUGUGGUAAUAUUCAAUUGGUCAACAAGCAUUUAUUAAGUACUUACAAUCUGCUAGGAGCUGGGCAUAUAAAUUCAAAAGUGAGACAGUCCCCUGUCCUCAAAGGGCUUACAUUCUCCUGAGGGGAGAGAGGAAGGUAGAGAGGAAUGUAACACGUUCAGAGAUAAGUAAAUAUAGGAGAGAUACAAAAUAAAACAAGGUGGUUUCAGAGAAGGAGGAAAAGC
rnacentral:lncRNA from 1 species